CGGCCAUGGCCCAGCGCUGCCAUGGCGGCGUCGCGGGGAAGUGUGUGGAGCGUCUUCGAGGUGAAAACUUCCACGUCUUCCAUCCGUCGCGACACCCACAGGAAGGACAGGCGCUCCUCCCCCGCCAGGUGCACCAGGACGUGGGUGGAGGAGGUGGUGGGUUCCCGCGUGACAAAGACUAAGAAACAGGCGAAGAAGAAGAACAACCCGAGGCGAAAAUACAGUGAACCAAAGAACAGUGAACGUAGAAUAGUGAUAGUAAGGAUAAAAUUAAUGGACGAAAGAGUGAGUAAAGAGAACAGUGAACGGCAAACAGUGACGGAAUAAGAACAAAAUUGAUUAAAAAAAAGUAUUAGUCCGAGAACAGUGAACGUUAAGCAGUGAACGAAAGAGAGUGAACGUACUGAGUCUAAGAACAGUGAACGAUAAGCAGUGAACGAAAGAGAGUGAACGUAGUGAGUUUAAGAACAGUGAACGAUAAACAGUGACAGUGUAGGAAGAACACUGACCAAAAACAGUGAAAAAAACAUAAGACUAACGACGAACGAAAUGAAACAAAAGAAAAACUGAGAGAAACGGAGAAAUAAAGAGUGGAAGCAAUUUACAGACUUCGGAAAACAACAAAAAAUCGAAAACGCAGAGAAAGUAGUGAUAGAAGAAAACUAAUAAAAGUGGAAUAGAAAAGAGAAGAGAGAAAGAAACGUCUGAAAUAUUACCCCAUGAUUUGACGGUUCGGUAAAAAAAAAGAGGAAAAAUUGAAGAAAAUCGUGGAGAAAAGUUGAGAGGAGAAACGCGACGUAGAAUAACAUUAAAAAGGGGAAAUAAAAGGAAUAGUUGAAGAAAUAUUGAGUAAAACAGAAGAGAGGGAGAGAAACGGACGAAAUAUUACCCAUGAUUUAACAGUACAGCAAAAGAGAGAAAGAAAAAAAUCAAGGAAAUCGGAAAGAAAACACGAAAGGAGAAACACGACGAAUAAAAUAACAGUAAAGAGAGAAGAUAAAAGACAUUGUUAAAGGAAGAGUAAAGGAAAAGAGAGAGAGAAACGGAAAAGAUAGAAGGGAAAAGUGAAGGAAAGCGGGGAGAAAAGUAAAAAAGAGAAACUUGUGCGUUAAAUAACAAUAAAAAUAGGAGAUAAAAGGAAUAGCUGAAGGAACAGAGAGCAAAACAGAGGAGAGACAGAAACGGACGAAGUAUUACCCCAUGACUUGACAAUGCAGUAAAAGAGAGAGAGAGGAAAAGAAGUGAAGGAAACGAGAAAGAAAAGUUAAACAGAGAAACGGCGCUUAAAACAACAGUAAAAAGAGGAAAAAAAGGAACAGAUAAAAGAACAGAGAGUAAAACGGAAAAGAGAGAAAAGCGAAAAGAGAAAAAGUGAAGGAAAUCGGAAAGGAAAGUUAGGAGCGAGAACGUGACGCAUAAGAUUACCGUAAAAACAGGAGAUAAAAAGAAUAGAUAAAGAUAGAGUAACAUAGAAGAGAGAGAAAAACGAAAAGAAAAAGAAAAGCCAAACAGCGAAAAAGAGAAAAAGUGAAGGAAAGCGAAAAGGAAAGUUAAGAGCAAGAACGUGACGCAUAAGAUUACCGUAAAAGGGAAAAUAAAGGAACAUCUGAGUCUGGGCUAAGGAAACAGAGCCGCGUGGAUACUUCUGAGCGACUGCAAAUUUAAGAAGCCGAACCCAGUCAAGCGAGAGAGAGAGAGAAGGAGAAAGGAAAGAGAACGACAGAAUAAGAGAGAGAAGAGAGAAUGAAAAUGUAAAUGCAAAGGAGAGAAGGAUAAAAUUUUGAAUAGAAUUAAAGAAAAAGUAGAAAAAGAAGAAUUGAAAACAGAAAGAAAGAAUGCGCUAACGAAAGAGACACUAGGAAAUAUAGAUAGAUAAAGAAGACUAGAAAGAGAAAAUGCAAUAAAAGUUAAUAAAGGUGAAUAGAGAGAAAAAGAAGAAGAUUGGAAGAUUUAAUAGAAAAUAUGAGAGGUAAAUAAAAACUAAAGAAUUAAUGAAAAGAGAAAUAUUGAGGGUAGAGAGAGUAAAAGAUAAUAAAGGAAGAUAAAUAGAAAAUAGAGGCAAAGAAUAAGAAAACAAUAUAGAGGCAGCGAGUAGAAAAGAGAAGAGACGAAACUAAAAUAUAUAGAUGAAAUAAUAUAACAAGGAAGAAAAUCGGAAACGAGAGUCGGAAAGGAACUCAAAACCUGAAACUGCCUAUUCACGAAACGAAACAAGAAACAAAUCAAACUACGGAAAAAGGAAUAGACGUGAGAGUCGGUAAAGAAGGAAAAGAAGGGAUCAAAGAGCAGGAGAAGUGACGAAAGAAGAAAAACGAAAAUAUUGAUAAAAACUUCUCGAACACAGAUAAAAUUGAAAAUCUCACCAACGAAACGCAGUAAAAAAAUAAAUAAUAAUGAGAUAAAUGAACGCGUAUCAGUAAGCAGACACUAAGAAGAAAAGCAAUAAAAAUAACAAGAAGAAGAAGAA